GCUCGUAGUGGCAGAGUGAAAAUGGCGUAGAGCGGAGGCUGCAGCGAGGAAGGAAGGGCCGACGGGACCUUCUUCUCUCUCCUCGGAGGCGAGCAGCACGGAGCGGGGAGUGAAGAAGGUCCGGCGGUUCGGCUGCCUCCUCACCGACGUGGCCGCCCGCCGCUCAGUGAACCCGGCGCGGCCGCAGAGGAAGCGACGCCCCCCCGGCUUUUGUUUACCAUUGUGUGCAGCUGCGGCUCGGAGCUCAAACAUCUCCGCAUCAUCUCAACCUGCACCAAGGUCGUCUCAGAGCCUCGGUCUGGAAGGAUGUUUCCCUCUCGAUCAGACCCAGCACCAUCAACAUAUCACCCCCACCGCCAGCAGGGCCCGCGGGGGGAAAGCGUCCCGAGUGAGAUGACCUCUUCUGGGCCUCUGGUACACGGGUGUCCUCCUCCUUGCUGUGUCUGGGACGCUGGCCUUCUUUCCUCCACAGCUCCUCCCUCGUGUCCCGACCUGCCUCUGCAGCCUGAGCCUCCUCACUGGCACGACGUGCGCGCCCAUCAUGCCUCUACGUAGCCUUGCAGCGUUUGAAGUGUCUGAGAAGUUAUGGAGCAACAAAUUAGCCUAAAGUCACCAUGAAUUCUGGGUAGGAUUCCUGUCGGGCUGCAUAAAAUCUGAACAAAAAGUAACCCCGAACUCUCUGCAAUUAGAUCAAAGAGGUUCGAUAGCGAACAAAUUACUUGCAGUGAUAUUAAUGACACAAAAUACUGUAGCAAUGAUCAAGGCCUGUGACUCGACUUGGACCCAUUGGGUGUUUUCUGUUGUUUUUUUGCACUACCUCAUCGCCAUAGCAAGUCGAACAGGAUUGAAAAGGUGAUCAGUACAAGUAGCCUCAUGGUUGUAACGCGCCACAGCAGUUUUCUACGCCGUGAAGUCCGUUUAUUUUCCAUGCACAUGGUGCUCGCCGUUCAUUCAAUCGACACCGAUGCACCCAGACUGUGUCGUCCUAUGCAUCCGUUUUGUACUUUUCUUUCCUUGUAUUUCCUUUGUGAAGUCUACAGAUUACAUGUAGAGGAAGAAACCAAAUUGGCACGACUCCCCUGCUGAUGCAUUUAUUGAGAUUGAUGAAAUUUGGCAAGUUGUAGUUUUAUACUAACUUCAUCCAAGCCCCUCAACUUUAAUUUGCCUUCUGCACAAUUUUCAUUUUUUGCAAAUUAUUAUUAUUUUUUUUUAAUUCCUAAAGGAAACCCUGGUCUCACUUUUUUUUUAAAUACAUGAUUUCCACAAAAGAAAUCCAUUAUUACCGGGAUGUGUGCAAUAUUUGAUCCUAACUGUCAUGUUGUUGACCAAACUGUAUAUUGUAUAAACAAGUGACAAGUUGUUUGAAAGCAACAAAAUCACCAAUGUCUUCCAUUAAGAUAUGUAUAGACUCAUGUGCAUUAGCUUAUUUAGCAGGACUGUGGUGCCAACAUUAGUAGCCAUGCAUGAUAAGUAGUGACGCUUGCUUCAUGAAGAAUAGUGAAAUCAACUUCUAGACUGACCCACAUUUAAAAGGUCACGCCACGCCAGGAUACGGUUUUACCCUGAACUUCGAUCCAAAAUAUUUCCUUCUGAUCCCAAUGAGGAAACAGACCAAGUGUUUGAUUUUCGCGAAGCUGUUUAUGACAGACCCUGCACUCAGCCUAAAACCAGUGCAGGUUGCAAUGCUUUGCUGCAGAGGCCUUCCCUAAAAGGCCAUUUGAUACUGUAGCUCCCCCUAGUGGAACGUCAGGGUAACUCAGGGGUGUCAAGCUCAUUUUAGUUUCAAGGCCUCAAACAGCCUAACCUGGACUUGAGUGGAUCAGGAUGUUAAAAUAUCAUAAGUUUGAAAUCUAAACUUUAAAGUUUUUCUUUGUUGUAGUGCAGUAUAGAUACAAUAAUUUUGGAAAACCCAAAAAUGACUAGAAUCUCAACAUAAAGCCAACAAAACAUUCUUUUACAAACUAAAGUCAAAUGUCAAAAUAAAAAAAAUUUAAAAAACUCACUUGGUUUUUUUACAAACUCACCCUGGCUUUAAGGAUUGCUUGCUACUCUUCAAAAAAUGUGUUAAAAAUGCAUCUUUGAAAUGUUUAAAAUUUGCUUGGUGGGCCGUUUUUGGCACGCGGGCCUUAUGUUUGACACCCCUGGAUUACGUCUUCACCGUGAAACUAUUCUCAUCCGAGUUGCAGAGAUGCGAUGUGGCGAUUGAGAGCGGCGAGAAUCUGAUGUUUCACUCCCUCGCCGUGACGUUGCUUUGUACAUAGUACCUCAUAGUUUUGGGAUUCAGAGCACUCGAUUUUAAUCCAUAAAAUUGUAUUUGAUUAGAUUUUUAGAAGCAAUAAUCUACAAUAAUGCAUGAGUUUAGUGCCAGGGUGUAAAUGUGUAAAGGAUUCUCUAAUGUCACAUGGAAAGGAUCCCCCUCAUUCUUUAAUGCCGACGCAAGCUUUUCUUUAGAAGUCAUAUAAUUGGCUUUAAUAAAAAAAAAAAAAGCGUAUAACUGUAGCAUCCCGACAAAUCUAGCCGCUUGUUUUGCCUGCCUUCGAUUCCUUAAACACCAAAAGUCAUGUUUAACCACCGGUACAUGAGAGAUGCUUUAAAUUCAACUUCUUGUAGCAUUUUCACGACCCACCCUCUUCCUUUAGGAACACAGACUUUUCAGUGACUCUGUGGCUGCAAAGGACUUACUGAACGAACUUGACACUUGUUUGAAAAAGCACUUUCUCUCGAUGUACUGACUUGCACCAUCAUCCUCCUCAUCACCAUCCUCUCUUGAAUACUGUGUUCUUGAAACCCUGUAAUGCUCUCUCCGGGGAUUUAUAAUCACAAUUUAUAAGCAAGUAGACAUCUAGCAACAAGAAUAUAUGGGUUUAAAAAAAAAAAUUAUGCAUGACUUUAGCAGAAUAUUGAAUGAUUUGUAUUGCAUGCAAUAAUCCAACUUUGUAAUGUGAACGAGUGUAAUUAGGGUAUGGAGAUGUUCAUAUCUGUGACGACGUGUUUAACACAAACGACAAGAAGCACGCCGGAGCAGAUCCCGCCGCCGUGCGCGGUUCGGACUGCUCCCAGGUGAUGCAAACAGCACCAAAAAAAAAAAAAAAAAACAGAAAAAAGGAGAGUGUUUUCUGCUCUCAGUGCAGCUGAGAAACACACAUCAGCCUUUUAUUCCCUUCAGAAGAAACUAAAGCUUCAGUUCGAGUAUUGACAAUACUUUGAUCAACUUUUCCACCGAGGUGGACUGUGUAGAAACUAUGCACUCAGAGGGAGGAAACGGGCAUGCUUAUUCUGUGUGAGCCUCUUGUCUGGUUUUGUAUUAACUUAAAAAAAAAAAAGAUAAAAGAAAUUCAGCAAUAAAAUGAUGCAGCAUGG